UCUGGCAAGGCUGAUAUUCACUUGCCCUCACUUAAACCAUAGUUUUGUUGAGUAGAGCAUUAUUCUGAGCCAGU
ensembl:snoRNA